CAGGGUGAUAUUGACAGAGUCGACGACUUGGACACCAACAUUUUCUGCCGAAUAUUUGCAAACACCGUCGACUCCAACAUACGGAUAAGCAGCCUCGGUGUCAAGACCGCCAUUGUACUUGAUGUACUCAAAUGCUUGAGAUGGCAACCCACCACUGCAGCCGUUAUUGUUGAAAGCGCCAGCGCAAUCCACAAGCUGCUGCUCAGAUAGGGAGAUCUGCUUUCCGAAGGCCUGCACAUACGCUGCCUCGAGAGCUCCAGUGGUGCUGCAUCAGCCAUAUAUUAGUGUUAGACAUUCGAAAUACACGAUAAUUAGUAUGCCUUAACUUACAAUUUGCAUCCGGUAAUCAUCGAAAAUACUCAAGCUAGGAAAUAAACCUGAAUGUCCAGCAAGAUCCACAGUGACCUUGAUCUUUAACUGGAGUCACUAUGCCUUCUUCUUUCCAGUUUUUCUGUACAUAUACACAAAGGAACAGUCGAUAUUAACUUCAAAGCGGUAGAUCUAGCUAGCUACGCGUUUAUUAGUAACUGAUCAUAACAAUUGAUUAUAAUUGAUGUAAUUAAUGUGCCGAUUUACUGCACAAUAGGGGUUUCUCUUACAUUUUCCUUUGUCUUAAUAUAAAGUUGCAAAAAAUAUUGCAGCAGCAAAUGACUAUUUACCGAGUCAGGGAGAACGGCAUCAGUGAGCUUGUGGUUGCCCUUUGUGGUGGCGGAGCAGUUCUGAGCAGCUCCCAACCUGUGCCUUGUGAACUCUUCCCAGCUCCAAUCAGCAAACC
rnacentral:lncRNA from 1 species